GACGAACGCUGGCGGCGUGCUUAACACAUGCAAGUCGAACGGUAAGGCCCUUCGGGGUACACGAGUGGCGAACGGGUGAGUAACACGAGGGUGAUCUGCCCUGCACUUCGGGAUAAGCCUGGGAAACUGGGUCUAAUACCGGAUAGGACCACUGCCUGCAUGGGUGGUGGUGGAAAGCUUUUGCGGUGUGGGAUGGGCCCGCGGCCUAUCAGCUUGGUGGGGGGGUGAUGGCCUACCAAGGCGACGACGGGUAGCCGGCCUGAGAGGGUGACCGGCCACACGGGGACUGGGAUACGGCCCAGACUCCUACGGGAGGCAGCAGUGGGGAAUAUUGCACAAUGGGCGCAAGCCUGAUGCAGCGACGCCGCGUGAGGGAUGACGGCCUUCGGGUUGUAAACCUCUUUCAGCACCGACGAAGCGCAAGUGACGGUAGGUGCAGAAGAAGGACCGGCCAACUACGUGCCAGCAGCCGCCGUAA
rnacentral:rRNA from 1 species